GGAGGGAUGGGGCCUCAUGAAAGAAGGAAGCGGGGCUGAAUAGUGGCUCUCGGGAGCGAUGCUGUUGUUAUUUUGGAGAAUGGUAACUCCUCUAAGCUGAACAACAAAUCAGAUCACAUCAGAAAUUGAAAGAAUGGUGAUUCUCAUCUAUGAUAAUCUGUAUGGAAACGAGUGACAGCAACAAAGGAAGAUUUCACUUAAGAAUUACUGUAAGGACCCUGAAGUAAGUCAGGAAGGACUUUGGUGCUGUACUCCUUACUCUAAAAAGCUCCACUUCAAUAAUGAGUUUCUAAACUGUAUCAAAUGGGAUUUUUAACAAAACCAACUGACACAUGAUAUUAAAUGGGAGACUGCUAAAGGAACAUCCCCUCUAAUCUGAUCUCAGGAAAAAAAAAAGGUAUAAAGAAGUGGAAACUGAUCAAAACAUUUGAACUUACUCUUUAUGCCAGAGGAAGAACAGCAGGACAAUGGUUAACUAAGGAGAGGAUAUGAAACCAGAUUGCUGGUCUUCACAGCUGAAUCUCUUCCAAAACAUCUAAUGCUAAACCAGAAGCUGUCUGCAUGAAGCAGUAUAUUUGGCUGCUACAUUCUGGUGCACUGAGCUCCUUAUCUUGCUCACUAGUUGUCAGCCUGUUUCACAGUGAUGUCUACAUCUUAUCAGAGGAUCUUACAGACUCAUAGGUUAGAAGAGAAAGGAUGAGCCCAUCUAUACCUAUUCAUGAUUACACAGGCAAUCUAGUCUCAUUCACAUCAUUAUAACUAUGCCCAUGGCAACUAGGGUGCUUGUUUACCUGGAGAAAUUACAUUGUGAAAGGAUGUCAGGUAAUACCUCCAGCUGUCU